GGUUGAUCCUGCCAGUAGUCAUAUGCUUGUCUCAAAGAUUAAGCCAUGCAUGUCUAAGUAUAAACAUUUUAUACUGUGAAACUGCGUACAGCUCAUUAUAUCAGUAAUUAUUCAUUUGAUGGUUAAAUACUACAUGGAUACCCGUAGUAAUUCUAGAGCUAAUACAUGCCUACAAAUCUCGAUGGGGCAACUCAAAGAGACGUAUUUAUUAGAUAAAAAACUAAUUGCCAGUAGCAAUACUGGUUGAUUGGUGAUUCAUAGUAACUCAACGAAUCGCAUGGCUUUACGCUGG
rnacentral:rRNA from 1 species